rnacentral:rRNA from 1 species
CGGUGAAUACGUUCCCGGACCUUGUACACACCGCCCGUCAAGCCGUGGGAGUUGGGGGUGCCUGAAGACGGUGACCUUGUAAGGAGCUGUUUAAGGUAAAACCGAUGACUGGGGCU